CGGUGUCUAAUACCGCAUAUGGUCUUCGGAUUAAAGCUUCGGCGGUUUGGGAAGAGCCCGCGUAAGAUUAGCUAGUUGGUGAGGUAAUGGCUCACCAAGGCGACGAUCUUUAACUGGUUUGAGAGGAUGAUCAGUCACACUGGAACUGAGACACGGUCCAGACUCCUACGGAGGCAGCAGUGAGGAAUUUCCACAAUGGGCGAAAGCCUGAUGGAGCAACGCCGCGUGCAGGAUGAAGGCUUUAGGGUUGUAAACUGCUUUUAUAUGUGACGAAUAUGACGGUAGCAUAUGAAUAAGGAUCGGCUAACUCCGUG
rnacentral:rRNA from 1 species